AAGUCGUAACAAGGUUUCCGUAGGUGAACCUGCGGAAGGAUCAUUAUCACGUACUUUUGUACAAACCUAUUAAAACGUUGCAUAGUCGUAGUGUCAGUUGAUGUGUCAGAGUUUUACACUCUCAUUCGGCCAGGUAGAUGAAAUAUUUAUCUGUUGAUGAGUGGCCGUGUGAUGAAAUGCGAUAGAUGUCUAACUCGCUCAGCUUCUAGCUGAAAGCCUUCAACGUACGACCUACGGCGCCUUUUCUACCGAAUCACAAUUCUCACAUUUAAUUUUACCACUUUAACCUUUUUAUUUAUUAACUCGUCUGCUUAACCGUAGACCUCGAACAACAUGUUGUGUAGAAAGCUGCUUUCUCUGAAAAGAGAGGUAGGUUGCUACCAAUACGAAAUAAAAAAAGAACAACUCUUAACAACGGAUAUCUUGGCUCUC
rnacentral:misc_RNA from 1 species